rnacentral:lncRNA from 1 species
GUGUCUUGUUUGGUUUAUUUAAGUCAUUGCAGAUAUGGAAUCGGUUGUAUAUAGAGUGGCGGUGGUACAUAUGCUUGAUUAUCUUUGUUAUCAUUCACUGCUUCCUUAUCUUUAAUAUCUUUAUUUCUUUGUUUUUCAUAUCCUAUGGGUUCCUCUUUUUGUUCUUCUGGAGUAGUCACAACAUUUUCUUUUGGUGGUUCUGGAAUUUUAGGCCCAUCAUAUUGAGUUCCGCUUCACAGCAAAAU